rnacentral:pre_miRNA from 1 species
AGUAUUGUUAGAUUAAUUUUGUGGGACAUUAACUACAGCAGCAGCAGCAACAUCGACUUUAUAGUUAAUGCAUCCUAGCAAGUUAAGUAACUCUAUUU